rnacentral:rRNA from 1 species
AAAUUGAAGAGUUUGAUCAUGGCUCAGAUUGAACGCUGGCGGCAGGCCUAACACAUGCAAGUCGAACGGUAACAGGAAGAAGCUUGCUUCUUUGCUGACGAGUGGCGGACGGGUGAGUAAUGUCUGGGAAACUGCCUGAUGGAGGGGGAUAACUACUGGAAACGGUAGCUAAUACCGCAUAACGUCGCAAGACCAAAGAGGGGGACCUUCGGGCCUCUUGCCAUCGGAUGUGCCCAGAUGGGAUUAGCUAGUAGGUGGGGUAACGGCUCACCUAGGCGACGAUCCCUAGCUGGUCUGAGAGGAUGACCAGCCACACUGGAACUGAGACACGGUCCAGACUCCUACGGGAGGCAGCAGUGGGGAAUAUUGCACAAUGGGCGCAAGCCUGAUGCAGCCAUGCCGCGUGUAUGAAGAAGGCCUUCGGGUUGUAAAGUACUUUCAGCGGGGAGGAAGGGAGUAAAGUUAAUACCUUUGCUCAUUGACGUUACCCGCAGAAGAAGCACCGGCUAACUCCGUGCCAGCAGCCGCGGUAAUACGGAGGGUGCAAGCGUUAAUCGGAAUUACUGGGCGUAAAGCGCACGCAGGCGGUUUGUUAAGUCAGAUGUGAAAUACCCGGGCUCAACCUGGGAACUGCAUCUGAUACUGGCAAGCUUGAGUCUCGUAGAGGGGGGUAGAAUUCCAGGUGUAGCGGUGAAAUGCGUAGAGAUCUGGAGGAAUACCGGUGGCGAAGGCGGCCCCCUGGACGAAGACUGACGCUCAGGUGCGAAAGCGUGGGGAGCAAACAGGAUUAGAAACCCCGGUAGUCCACGCCGUAAACGAUGUCGACUUGGAGGUUGUGCCCUUGAGGCGUGGCUUCCGGAGCUAACGCGUUAAGUCGACCGCCUGGGGAGUACGGCCGCAAGGUUAAAACUCAAAUGAAUUGACGUGGGCCCGCACAAGCGGUGGAGCAUGUGGUUUAAUUCGAUGCAACGCGAAGAACCUUACGGUCUUGACAUCCACGGAAGUUUUCAGAGAUGAGAAUGUGCCUUCGGGAACCGUGAGACAGGUGCUGCAUGGCUGUCGUCAGCUCGUGUUGUGAAAUGUUGGGUUAAGUCCCGCAACGAGCGCAACCCUUAUCCUUUGUUGCCAGCGGUCCGGCCGGGAACUCAAAGGAGACUGCCAGUGAUAAACUGGAGGAAGGUGGGGAUGACGUCAAGUCAUCAUGGCCCUUACGACCAGGGCUACACACGUGCUACAAUGGCGCAUACAAAGAGAAGCGACCUCGCGAGAGCAAGCGGACCUCAUAAAGUGCGUCGUAGUCCGGAUUGGAGUCUGCAACUCGACUCCAUGAAGUCGGAAUCGCUAGUAAUCGUGGAUCAGAAUGCCACGGUGAAUACGUUCCCGGGCCUUGUACACACCGCCCGUCACACCAUGGGAGUGGGUUGCAAAAGAAGUAGGUAGCUUAACCUUCGGGAGGGCGCUUACCACUUUGUGAUUCAUGACUGGGGUGAAGUCGUAACAAGGUAACCGUAGGGGAACCUGCGGUUGGAUCACCUCCUUACCUUAAAGAAGC